rnacentral:rRNA from 1 species
UGGGGGAUCUUAGGACCUCACGUGAUUGGAGUGGCCGAUAUCAGAUUAGCUAGUUGGUGAGGUAAGGGCUCACCAAGGCGACGAUCUGUAGCGGGUCUGAGAGGAUGAUCCGCCACACUGGAACUGAGACACGGUCCAGACUCCUACGGGAGGCAGCAGUGGGGAAUUUUUGGACAAUGGGCGCAAGCCUGAUCCAGCCAUGCCGCGUGAGUGAAGAAGGCCUUCGGGUUGUAAAGCUCUUUCGGCCGGGAAGAAAUCGCACGGGUUAAUACCCUGUGUGGAUGACGGUACCGGAAUAAGAAGCACCGGCUAACUACGUG